GAUGAAGAACGUAGCGAAAUGCGAUACUUGGUGUGAAUUGCAGAAUCCCGUGAACCAUCGAGUCUUUGAACGCAAGUUGCGCCCGAAGCCAUCAGGUUGAGGGCACGUCUGCCUGGGCGUCACAUAUCGUUGCCCAAUGCCUAUUGCAGUGCAAUAGGAAUUUCUAGGGCGAAUGAUGGCUUCCCGUGAGCGUUGUUGCCUCGCGGUUGGUUGAAAAUCGAGUCCUUGGUAGGGUGUGCCAUGGUAGAUGGUGGUCGAGUUAGAACGAUACCGAUCAUGUGCAUGCUCCCCAAAAUAUGGCCUCUAUGACCCACACGCGUCUUUUGACGCUCAUGACGAGACCUCAGGUCAGGCGGGGCUACCCGCUGAAUUUAGGCAUAUCAAUAAGCGGAGGA
rnacentral:misc_RNA from 1 species